rnacentral:rRNA from 1 species
UACGAAGGGUGCAAGCGUUACUCGGAAUUACUGGGCGUAAAGCGUGCGUAGGUGGUGAGUUAAGUCUGUCGUGAAAGCCCCGGGCUCAACCUGGGACUGGCGAUGGAUACUGGCUCGCUAGAGUGCGGUAGAGGAGAGUGGAAUUCCCGGUGUAGCAGUGAAAUGCGUAGAGAUCGGGAGGAACAUCAGUUGCGAAGGCGGCUCUCUGGACCAGCACUGACACUGAGGCACGAAAGCGUGGGGAGCAAACAGG